UCAUCGAAUAACAUUGCAUUUUACCCACGGCUGAGCGCGGCGCUGGCCGAGGGCAGCAGGAGGGCAGCUAGAUGGCAUGAGAGCCCAUCUGAGCUGGAUGGGGACAGGGGAGCCCAGAGCUGGAUGGGGACAGGGGAGCCCAGCUGAGCUGGCCAGGGCAAGGGGACUAGCGGACCUGGAUAACCAGGUUUGGCACAGAGCAGCCAGAGACCCCUCUUGCUUCAAGAGGUUUGUUUUUUUCUUUUUUUAAUACGCUGCAGAACAAAACCAUGCCAGAAAGAACACUUCUGUCCCUGCACCUGUGGUCUGGAGGCUGCUCAGGGUCCCCUCUUUCCCUGUGUGCCACCACUGCCUCCUGCCUGUUCCCAGCCAAUGCCGGCUCCGAGCAGGCUCCGUGUUGGUCCCCAGGAUGUCACAGAGGCAGCAGACGGGUCAGGGCUGCAGACAGAUGGGUGGGAGAACACGGAUAAUUAACCCAGCAGCAAAAUGGAACAAAAUGGAAGAAGCUGAAAGCCCUCAGAAAGCUGAGCAGUCUGACCUGUGUCCAUAAGAAACUCAAAGCAAACACAAACCUUCAGUCUGUCCUGGCUUAAGAAAUCCCUGAGUGGGAUUUUAAGGCUCUUUGCAGUAAUUUUCCUCAGUUUACUGCAGUGCAACAUUUCCCCUUGGAGCUGUGUCCCCAAACAGCUCUGUCUAUAGGGCCUCUGCAGUGCCAUGCAUCCACACAGGGAAUCUCACCAGCUCCCCGGAUCCACAUAAGGAAUCCCUCCUGCUCCUCCAAGGCCCUGUGUGACCACAAGCACCUGCUCACCGGGGGCAGCUGCAGUCUGGGCAGAGAGCAGGAGCCUGAGCACAGCUUUCUGUGGAGUUCAACAGGCUGCCCCUAAGUUACAUCUCGGCAGGUGAACUGCACUCAAGGGAGGCUGCAGCACGACCCCAAGGGCAGUACCAGUGGUGAUGCAGAAGUAGGUCUCGUGUGGAGACACAUGAUGGAUCCUGUGGUGCUUCCUGGGCAGGAUAAUGUGCCAGUCCUGCAGGAAUAUGACCCAGCGUGGGAGCCCAAAGUACGUGUGGGACCACUUGUGGAUCUGGUUCGUCAUGGUGAUGAAGAUGAUGAGCGCGAAGACGUAACACUCCCAGGGACACGUCUCAUAUAAU